rnacentral:rRNA from 1 species
AUACGGAGGGUCCAAGCGUUAUCCGGAAUCAUUGGGUUUAAAGGGUCCGCAGGCGGUCAAUUAAGUCAGAGGUGAAAGCCCAUCGCUCGACGAUGGAACUGCCUUUGAUACUGGUUGACUUGAGUUAUACGGAAGUAGAUAGAAUAAGUAGUGUAGCGGUGAAAUGCAUAGAUAUUACUUAGAAUACCGAUUGCGAAGGCAGUCUACUACGUAUAUACUGACGCUGAGGGACGAAAGCGUGGGGAGCGAACAGGAUUAGAAACCCUAGUAGUCC